GAUCGCUCGGGCUCAAUGAAGUAAUAAGAAAGGCGGCGGAGCGCGGCUGGGCCCGCGCCAGGGGGGAGGGGGAGAGCCCCGCUCCGGUCCUGAGGAGAGGAGGAAGAGCGGCGGAUGGUUGCUGCGCGAGUUCUCGCUCUUGGUGAAAAAAUCUCUCUUCUCUGGAAAUUCAUUUCCAUUUACUUAAAGUUAAAUGGUUUGACUUUGAAUUUUCAUUAUCUGCUGUUGGAAGGAGCCUGUGACAGGCAUUAGCAACAUAGUGGAUGAAGAUUUUCUGGACACUGAAGGAACAAACCUUAUACAGAAGAAAAAGCAAGAGAACUUCUUCAAAUUAUUGUUUCUCUUGAUAAGCAUCUUGCACUGCGGGGAAAAGCUCCUACAGGUUUUCCAGGUUUUUUUCACUUAAUAUAGAUUUUGCCUUUUUAGUUUGGAACACGAGAAUAUGUGAGUUUAUACAAAAAGAUGUUAUAAUAAUGGCAACAGUAUCUGUAGAGCGAGAGAAGUUAUUUUUAAUUGAAACUCGUAAUAAUAAUUUUCUCCUCAAUUUUCAAUUUUUGCAACAAUUUUGUGGAAAUAAUUAUUUUGUUUCAAAGCCUGUAGUUUCAUGGGAAGUUUCAGCAUUAAAAAUAUAAAAGUAAAACCAACUUUGUUUAACUUGACUAAAGCUGUCAUAAGGUACAACUAACCAUGAAUCUUUUGGUGAGACAGGAUAGCAGUAGUUCAUCCAGUAUUCAGAUGUAACCACUGAAUUAAUUAAAAAGUUAAAAAUCUGUCUUGAAUGUUUCACAGUCCAUUGUAUUCUCUAUGUUUUCAAUUCAUUACCUUAUUUUAUGUGCAUCUUGUCUUUCAAUAUAUGCCAACAAAGUACAGCAACUAGAUUUUUCUAGGAUAUACUAUAAUUUAUUACUGCUGGACUUUUGAUUCUAAUGAGUUUUACUGAACUGUUUUGAGCUUAUAGAGGAGUACAAGGAUGAAGAACUACAUAAUAGAGAAGACACAUUAUGCAAAAAGAAGUUUUAAAUUAAUAAAAUGAUUAAAGCCGACAUAUCAGACACCUGAAGUAGAAAAAAAAUUAACAUUUUCUUGAACUAAGUUAUGGACUAAAAACAUGUACUUCGGUGUUUUUG